CCAAUAGCGUAUAUUAAAGUUGUUGCAGUUAAAAAGCUCGUAGUUGAAUUUCGGGAUCAGUACGCUGGUCGUACCUUGUGUAUGUACUGGUGUUACUGGUUCCUACCUUCUGACGAACCGUCAUGUCAUUAAUUUGGUGUGGCGGGAAAUCAGGACUGUUACUUUGAAAAAAUUAGAGUGUUUAAAGCAGGCUCGCGCUUGAAUACAUUAGCAUGGAAUAAUGAAAUAGGACGUUUGAUCCUAUUUUGUUGGUUUCUAGGAUUGACGUAAUGAUUAAUAGGGAUAGUUGGGGGCAUUAGUAUUCAAUUGUCAGAGGUGAAAUUCUUGGAUUUAUUGAAGACUAACUACUGCGAAAGCAUUUGCCAAGGAUGUUUUCAUUAAUCAAGAACGAAAGUUAGGGGAUCGAAGACGAUCAGAUACCGUCGUAGUCUUAACCAUAAACUAUGCCGACUAGGGAUCGGAUGAUGUUAUUUUUAAUGACUCAUUCGGCGCCUUACG
rnacentral:rRNA from 1 species